AGGAGGGAAAGAAGCUUAUAUUUAAAAGUUAUUGGAGAUGGGUUUUCUUGAAUUGAUGAAUUCCGAGGCCUGGGAGCAGGAAUCCUACCCACACUAUCAAGAUUUGGUUGUACUUCCUUUUUUCGCUCUAUUUUUCCCCACAGUUCGAUUUUUGCUCGACAGAUUCGUCUUCCAGAGAGCUGGAAGGCGAUUAAUAUUUGGAAAGGGAACGCAUGUGGUGGCAAAUGAGACUGAAGAGCAGAAAAAGAAGUUGGGCAAGUUCAAGGAGUCAGCAUGGAAAUGCAUUUACUAUCUUUCAGCUGAGGUAUUGGCACUUGCUGUGACUUACAAUGAGCCUUGGUUCACAAAAACAAAGUACUUUUGGGUGGGGCCUGGGGACCAGGUCUGGCCUGAUCAAACAUAUAAGCUGAAACUGAAGGGCCUCUAUAUGUAUACUGGCGGGUUCUAUACAUACUCAAUAUUUGCUCUGAUAUUCUGGGAAACAAGGCGCUCUGACUUUGGGGUUUCUAUGGGUCAUCAUGUUGCAACCCUCAUUCUCAUUGUGUUGUCCUAUGUAUUAAGGUUUGCACGUGUUGGUUCAGUUGUUUUAGCUCUUCAUGAUGCUAGUGAUGUAUUUCUUGAAAUUGGAAAGAUGUCCAAGUACAGUGGCGGAGAAGCACUUGCUAGCUUCUCAUUUGUCCUUUUUGUGUUAUCUUGGGUCAUACUUCGUCUGAUAUACUAUCCAUUCUGGAUUUUAUGGAGCACAAGUUAUGAAGUUAUCCAGACCUUGGAUAAGGAGAAGCACAAAACCGAUGGACCAAUCUAUUACUAUGUUUUCAAUUUCCUUCUUUUCUCCUUGCUUGUUCUUCAUAUUUAUUGGUGGCUGUUGAUGUUCCGAAUGCUUGUCAAGCAAAUCCAAGCAAGGGGCCGUGUCAGCGAAGAUGUUAGGUCUGAUUCUGAAGAUGAAAAUGAGCACGAAGAUUGAUAGUGGAAAUUUUCAUCACCGCCUCAGUCGAAUGAAGGUGCCUCAUAAAUUAUUCAAAGAGCAGGUAUAUUUACACAACACGAAUUUUAAGUCAGUUAGUAACGACGAGAAGAUUUACUUUCAAGUCCAGAAACUUGUAUAAACUGGAAAUUAGUGCAAAGAGGCUGAUCGAAGAGGGCAGAAGGAAAAGGAUGGACAGACAGAUGAUUCUUCACUGAGAAUUUACGUGAUUCACUAUGUUAGAACACAUGUGUUUUGCUUUGAACUGUUUUCCCUUUAUUAACUACGUUGAUCCCAUGAACUGUACCAGGAUUUCUGACAUUCUGAAUACGUAUGCCUUGAGACUAUUACUCGAAGAGUGCAGCAAAGAUUACUUUGUACAAACUUUUCCAACUUUGAGAAACUAAUACUAAGUUACUUCCAUAAGUAA